rnacentral:lncRNA from 1 species
GUCACUUGGGUCUUCGAGGUCAUCUUGGUAGACUCUUGGUCGACCUCAGUCUCCUUGUGGACUUUGAAGAGUCCGACCUCGUUGGGCCCUGUCCUCGACUUGCUCCAAGCACUCAUUGAAUGACUCAAACUCAUUCUGCAACAUGCGUUGGAACUCUCGUAAUAGAGCUUGUUGGCCUAAGUUAGGUACUCCACCUCCUCCGG